rnacentral:tRNA from 1 species
UGUUAGAAGUGGGAUUUGAACCCACGCCCUCUUUCGAAGACCAGAACUUGAGUCUGGCGCCUUAGACCACUCGGCCAUCCUGAC